rnacentral:rRNA from 1 species
GACAUACUAAGAACUUUCCAGAGAUGGAUUGGUGCCUUCGGGAACUUAGAUACAGGUGCUGCAUGGCUGUCGUCAGCUCGUGUCGUGAGAUGUUGGGUUAAGUCCCGCAACGAGCGCAACCCUUUUCCUUAUUUGCCAGCGGGUCAUGCCGGGAACUUUAAGGAUACUGCCAGUGACAAACUGGAGGAAGGCGGGGACGACGUCAAGUCAUCAUGGCCCUUACGGCCAGGGCUACACACGUGCUACAAUGGUCGGUACAGAGGGUUGCUACCUCGCGAGAGGAUGCUAAUCUCAAAAAGCCGAUCGUAGUCCGGAUCGCAGUCUGCAACUCGACUGCGUGAAGUCGGAAUCGCUAGUAAUCGCGGAUCAGAAUGCCGCGGUGAAUACGUUCCCGGGCCUUGUACACACCGCCCGUCACACCAUGGGAGUUUGUUGCACCAGAAGUAGGUAGUCUAACCGCAAGGAGGACGCUUACCACGGUGUGGCCGAUGACUGGGGUGAAGUCGUAACAAGGUAAGCGUAGAUGA